rnacentral:rRNA from 1 species
CACGUAGGGGGCGAGCGUUGUCCGGAAUUACUGGGCGUAAAGGGCGUGUAGGCGGCCAUGUAUGUCAGGUGUGAAAUGCCACGGCUUAACCGAGGCACUGCACAUGAAACUGCAUGGCUUGAGUGCAGGAGAGGGAAGUGGAAUUCCUAGUGUAGCGGUGAAAUGCGUAGAUAUUAGGAGGAACACCAGUGGCGAAGGCGACUUCCUGGACUGUAACUGACGCUGAGGCGCGAAAGCGUGGGUAGCAAACAGGAUUAGAUACCCUGGUAGUCCACGCUGUAAACGAUGGGUACUAGGUGUGGGUAGUUCACUCUAUCCGUGCCGCAGCAAACGCAAUAAGUACCCCGCCUGGGGAGUACGGCCGCAAGGUUGAA